AGGUGAACAGAAUGACUCACGUCCUUCAACAUCAGUUUCUCUCCUUCUUUCAUCUCCAGCUUUCUAUGAGAGUACAAGCUCUUCACAUUCAUUGCACAUAAUACCACCAUACAAGCAACAAAUGUACCUAGAACAGCACUGAGGAACAAUCCUUGCGAUCGUACAUACAGGGAUUCGAUACAAAUACGUGAGCGAAUGAUAGGAGUCACCUGAAACAGAAUAAAUUUAUUGGUUCUUGA